CAGAGUAGUGCAUUACAUCCUACACCACACCCAUAUCAACACAGGAGAGAACCUCAGAGAGCUCCAGGAGAAGGGUGUCUUUGAGGCCACAUUCUGCCUGCAUGAGAGGAACAAGCAAAAGGUGUUGAAACAAAAGUGGGCACGAUGGUCUGCUCUCUGUACCACCCAGCCUGUCGAUGAUGUCAGG